rnacentral:rRNA from 1 species
GAUGAACGCUGGCGGCGUGCCUAAUACAUGCAAGUCGAGCGAACGGACGAGAAGCUUGCUUCUCUGAUGUUAGCGGCGGACGGGUGUGUAACACGUGGAUAACCUACCUAUAAGACUGGGAUAACUUCGGGAAACCGGAGCUAAUACCGGAUAAUAUUUUGAACCGCAUGGUUCAAAAGUAAAAGACGGUCUUGCUGUCACUUAUAGAUGGAUCCGCGCUGCAUUAGCUAGUUGGUAAGGUAACGGCUUACCAAGGCAACGAUGCAUAGCCGACCUGAGAGGGUGAUCGGCCACACUGGAACUGAGACACGGUCCAGACUCCUACGGGAGGCAGCAGUAGGGAAUCUUCCGCAAUGGGCGAAAGCCUGACGGAGCAACGCCGCGUGAGUGAUGAAGGUCUUCGGAUCGUAAAACUCUGUUAUUAGGGAAGAACAUAUGUGUAAGUAACUGUGCACAUCUUGACGGUACCUAAUCAGAAAGCCACGGCUAACUACGUG